GUAACACGUAGUCAACCUACCCUGUAGACACGGAUAACCCCGGGAAACUGGGACCAAUCCGUGAUAGGUCACUGCAUCUGGAAGGAGAGGUGGUCCAAAGGGGAAUCGUGGGCUUCCACUUUUCUCGCUACAGGAUGGGACUGCGGCCGAUCAGGCUGUUGGCGGGGUAAUGGCCCACCAAACCUGUAACCGGUACGGGCCUUGAGAGAGGUGGCCCGGAGAUGGACACUGAGACAAGGGUCCAGGUCCUACGGGGCGCAGCAGGCGCGAAACCUACGCAAUGCGCGAAAGCGUGACGAGGUUAAUCCGAGUGGCUUCCGCUGAGGAAGUCUUUUGCCGACUGUAAAAAGGUCGGAGAAUAAGGGGAGGGCAAGUCUGGUGUCAGCCGCCGCGGUAAUACCAGCUCCUCGAGUGGUCGGGGCGAUUAUUGGGCCUAAAGCAUCCGUAGCCUGUUCCGUAGGUCUCCUGCAAAAUCCAGUCGCUCAACGAUUGGCCCGCAGGAGAUACCGCGGGACU
rnacentral:rRNA from 1 species